CCCUGUGGCAGGGGGCUUUUAUUAGAUGCAAGACUACGCCACCACGCAGACGCGGGUGGAUUUUGUUGAACUCUGGAUAACUGCAGGACCGCAGUAAGCCUUGUGCUGGCGGCGUAUCUUCCAAGUGUUUGCCCUAUCAACUUUGGACGGUAGGGUACCGGCCUACCGUGGUUGUAACGGGUAACGGGGAAUCAGGGUUCGAUUCCGGAGAGGGAGCCUGGGAGACGGCUACCACAUCUAAGGAAGGCAGCAGGCGCGCAAAUUACCCAAUCCCAGAACGGGGAGGUAGUGACGAAAAAUAACAAUAUGAAACCCUUGUGGUUUUGUGAUUGGAAUGGACGGGAUAUAAAAACUCCCGUGAGGAUCUAGUGGAGGGCAAGUCUGGUGCCAGCAGCCGCGGUAAUACCAGCCUCCACAAGCAUAUGCAAAAGUUGCUGCGUUUAAAAAGCUCGUAGUUGGAUCUGUUGCUUGAGUCUCGCAAUCCCGCCAUCCUCGAAUGAGGUGUUGGGGAGACUUGACUACCUGAGCCGCCAAGGGUGCUUGCGCUUAACUGCGUCGAGUGCUCGCGACGGAGGU
rnacentral:rRNA from 1 species